rnacentral:misc_RNA from 1 species
GAUGAAGAACGUAGCGAAAUGCGAUAAGUAAUGUGAAUUGCAGAAUUCAGUGAAUCAUCGAAUCUUUGAACGCACAUUGCGCCCGCCAGUAUUCUGGCGGGCAUGCCUGUCCGAGCGUCAUUUCAACCCUCGAACCCCUCCGGGGGGUCGGCGUUGGGGACCUCGGGAGCCCUAAGACGGGAUCCCGGCCCCGAAAUACAGUGGCGGUCUCGCCGCAGCCUCUCCUGCGCAGUAGUUUGCACAACUCGCACCGGGAGCGCGGCGCGUCCACGUCCGUAAAACACCCAACUUCUGAAAUGUUGACCUCGGAUCAGGUAGGAAUACCCGCUGAACUUAAGCAUAUCAAUAAGCGGAGGA